UAGGGAAUCUUCGGCAAUGGGGGGAACCCUGACCGAGCAACGCCGCGUGAGUGAAGAAGGUUUUCGGAUCGUAAAGCUCUGUUGUUAAGGAAGAACGAGUGUGAGAAUGGAAAGUUCAUGCUGUGACGGUACUUAACCAGAAAGGGACGGCUAACUACGUGCCAGCAGCCGCGGUAAUACGUAGGUCCCGAGCGUUGUCCGGAUUUAUUGGGCGUAAAGCGAGCGCAGGCGGUUAGAAAAGUCUGAAGUGAAAGGCAGUGGCUCAACCAUUGUAGGCUUUGGAAACUGUUUAACUUGAGUGCAGAAGGGGAGAGUGGAAUUCCAUGUGUAGCGGUGAAAUGCGUAGAUAUAUGGAGGAACACCAGUUGCGAAGGCGACUCUCUGGUCUGUAACUGACGCUGAGGCUCGAAAGCGUGGGUAGCAAACAGG
rnacentral:rRNA from 1 species